rnacentral:rRNA from 1 species
GGGUCAGUAGGUUGGUCGUGCCACCGGUACGUACUGGUCUCACUGAUUCCUCCUUCCUGAAGAACCGUAAUGCCAUUAAUAUGGUGUUGCGGGGAAACAGGACUGUUACUUUGAAAAAAUUAGAGUGUUUAAAGCAAGCUAACGCUUGAAUACGUUAGCAUGGAAUAAUGAAAUAGGACGAUCGAUCCUAUUUUGUUGGUUUCUAGGAUUGACGUA